GACGAACGCUGGCGGCGUGCUUAACACAUGCAAGUCGAACGGUGAAGCGCCUUCCUUUUUGGUGGGUGUGGAUGAGUGGCGAACGGGUGAGUAACACGUGAGUAACCUGCCCCCUUCUUCUGGAUAACCGCAUGAAAGUGUGGCUAAUACGGGAUAUUCUGGGUCUGUCGCAUGAUGGGUCUGGGAAAGAUAUUGUUUCGGUGGGGGAUGGGCUCGCGGCCUAUCAGCUUGUUGGGGGGGUGAUGGCCUACCAAGGCGGUGACGGGUAGCCGGCCUGGGAGGGUGGGCGGCACCACUGGGACUGAGACGCGGACCAGACUCCUGCGGGAGGCAGCAGGGAGGAAUAUUGCACAAUGGGCGCAAGCCUGAUGCAGCGACGCCGCGUGAGGGAUGGAGGCCGUCGGGUUGUGAACCUCUUUCGCCAGUGAAGCAGGCCUGCCUCGUUUGUGGGUGGGUUGACGGUAGCUGGAUAAGAAGCGCCGGCUAACUACGUG
rnacentral:rRNA from 1 species